rnacentral:lncRNA from 12 species
UUUUUUUUAUUUUUCUUUUUUUUUGUGGUGGGAGAUGAACCUCUCACAUAACACAUUGCUUAUGGGGAGAGGACAUUAGGUGACAUUAGGUAAAGCCAGAAGGAAAACAGGAUAUCACCAUGCAGCCCACCCAUGCUGGUGUGGGAGCUUGGCCUGCACAAUAUCCAUGGGAAAAGGGGCAAAAGAGUCUUCACUCUUCAUUUUCUGGGUAAAUCUCUGCUUGCAAAAUGGAUCCUGCUGAAGGGACCAAUUUGCUGUGAGGACUGAGCAACGAAGAUGGGAGAUGGGAGGUGAUGUGCUCUGAAGAGGAGCUGCCACAACAAACGAACAAGCUCAGCCUGGGAUUUUUCAAAAGGAUACAGCCCCACUCUACAAAACACCUUUUCCAGGACAAACCUCUGCAGGGAGGUGCGAAGCAGGUGAGGAUCAGCUGCAGGGAAGCCGCAGCAAUGUGCUUGAGCACCUCCAUCACUCCCAUGGACCUCUCCAGGGUUUUAGCUGCCUCAACCACCAUGGGUCAACAUCCAGGAAGGAAGACGUUUCUAAGGAAACCACAGAGGCUUUCCACCAAGGUGGUUGCAUGAAAGCACUGA